GUGGAUUAGAUACCCUGGUAGUCCACGCCCUAAACGAUGAUGACUAGUUGUUGGGGGAGUUAAAUCCCUUAGUAACGCAGCUAACGCGUGAAGUCAUCCGCCUGGGGAGUACGGUCGCAAGAUUAAAACUCAAAGGAAUUGACGGGGGCCCGCACAAGCGGUGGAUGAUGUGGUUUAAUUCGACGCAACGCGAAAAACCUUACCUACCCUUGACAUGUGAGGAACCCUGCAGAGAUGCAGGGGUGCCCGAAAGGGAACCUCAACACAGGUGCUGCACGGCCGUCGACAACU
rnacentral:rRNA from 1 species